GACGAACGCUGGCGGCGUGCUUAACACAUGCAAGUCGAACGGAAAGGCCCUGCUUUUGUGGGGUGCUCGAGUGGCGAACGGGUGAGUAACACGUGAGUAACCUGCCCUUGACUUUGGGAUAACUUCAGGAAACUGGGGCUAAUACCGGAUAGGAGCUCCUGCUGCAUGGUGGGGGUUGGAAAUUUUCGGCGGUUGGGGAUGGACUCGCGGCUUAUCAGCUUGUUGGUGGGGUAGUGGCUUACCAAGGCUUUGACGGGUAGCCGGCCUGAGAGGGUGACCGGCCACAUUGGGACUGAGAUACGGCCCAGACUCCUACGGGAGGCAGCAGUGGGGAAUAUUGCACAAUGGGCGGAAGCCUGAUGCAGCAACGCCGCGUGCGGGAUGACGGCCUUCGGGCUGUAAACCGCUUUCGCCUGUGACGAAGCGUGAGUGACGGUAAUGGGUAAAGAAGCACCGGCUAACUACGUG
rnacentral:rRNA from 1 species